GCCGAAGGAAGUUCGAGGCAAUAACAGGUCUGUGAUGCCCUUAGAUGUUCUGGGCCGCACGCGCGCUACACUGAUACGUGCAUUGAGCUUACAACCUAGAUCGAGAGGUCCGGGUAAUCUUUUUAAAUCGUAUCGUGCUGGGGAUAGAUCAUUGUAAUUAUUGAUCUUCAACGAGGAAUUCCUAGUAAGCGCGAGUCAUCAACUCGCACUGAUUACGUCCCUGCCCUUUGUACACACCGCCCGUCGCUGCUACCGAUUGAAUGCAUUAGUGAGCUACAAGGACUGUCCUGUUGGAGGCAACUCUGGCGGUGGCGGAAAUUGCCGCAAACUUGCGCAUUUAGAGGAAGCAAAAGUCGUAACAAGGUAUCCGUAGGUGAACCUGCGGAUGGAUCAUUAAACAUAUCCAUGUAUCAACCAAACGCGAACUGUUAAGGACGAGGUUCAGACUGAACGCCUUUAGGUCUGGGUCGCAUGAGUCCUACCUUUUUACUUCUAAUACUAUUUUCUUUUUUUCUUUGGUGCGGCAGAAAUGCGGCCUUUCUUAAUUGUAAGAAAUCCUGUACAACUCUUAACGAUGGAUACCUAGGCUCUCGGAUCGAUGAAGAACGCAGCGAA
rnacentral:rRNA from 1 species